rnacentral:rRNA from 1 species
UGAGGAAUAUUGGUCAAUGGCCGAGAGGCUGAACCAGCCAAGUCGCGUGAGGGAAGACGGUCCUAUGGAUUGUAAACCUCUUUUGUCGGGGAGCAAAAAGGCGUCACGUGUGACGCUAUGAGAGUACCCGAAGAAAAAGCAUCGGCUAACUCCGUGCC